rnacentral:snRNA from 1 species
AUACUCACCUGUCAGGGGAGACACCAUGAUCACGAAGCUUAUCUUCUCUGGGCAAGGCUUAUCUGUUGCAUUCCACAUAUGCUGACCCCUUUGCUUUGCCGAAAUGUAGGAAAUCUGGUUACAUUGUUUGUGGUCGUGGUGGUGGGGGGAUAUCCCUUAGCUCCC